UACAGAGGGGGCUAGCGUUAUUCGGAAUUAUUGGGCGUAAAGGGCGCGUAGGCGGCCUUGCGUGUCUUUCGUGAAAUCCCUCGGCUUAACUGAGGACGUGCGGAAGAAACUGCAGGGCUCGAGUCCGGGAGAGGGGGGUGGAAUUCCCAGUGUAGCGGUGAAAUGCGUAGAUAUUGGGAGGAACACCGGUGGCGAAGGCGGCCCCCUGGACCGGUACUGACGCUGAGGCGCGAAAGCGUGGGGAGCAAACGGG
rnacentral:rRNA from 1 species